ACGUACGCUGGCGGCAUGCCUUAUACAUGCAAGUCGAACGAAGUAGCAAUACUUAGUGGCAGACGGGUGAGUAACAUGUAGGUAUCUGCCCUUUGGCCUGGAAUAACACGAGGAAACUUGUGCUAAUACCGGAUAAGUCUUUACGGAGAAAGCUUUAUGCACCAUUGGAUGAGCCUGCACUUGAUUAGUUUGUUGGUGGGGUAAUGGCCUACCAAGACUGUGAUCAAUAGCUGAUUUGAGAGGAUGAUCAGCCACAUUGGGACUGAGACACGGCCCAGACUCCUACGGGAGGCAGCAGUGGGGAAUCUUAG
rnacentral:rRNA from 1 species